AUACGGAGGGUGCAAGCGUUAAUCGGAAUUACUGGGCGUAAAGCGCUCGUAGGCGGCUUGUUAAGUCGGAUGUGAAAGCCCCGGGCUCAACCUGGGAACUGCAUUCGAUACUGGCAAGCUAGAGUAUGGUAGAGGGAAGCGGAAUUCCGGGUGUAGCGGUGAAAUGCGUAGAUAUCCGGAGGAACACCAGUGGCGAAGGCGGCUUCCUGGAUCAAUACUGACACUGAGGCGCGAAAGCGUGGGGAGCAAACAGGAUUAGAUACCCCAGUAGUCC
rnacentral:rRNA from 1 species